rnacentral:rRNA from 1 species
GGCCCCGCACAAGCGGUGGAGUAUGUGGUUUAAUUCGAUGCAACGCGAAGAACCUUACCAAGGCUUGACAUAUAGAGGAAAAGUGCAGAAAUGCACUCCCCGCAAGGUCUCUAUACAGGUGGUGCAUGGUUGUCGUCAGCUCGUGUCGUGGAGAUGUUGGGUUAAGUCCCGCAACGAGCGCAACCCUCGUCCUAUGUUGCCAGCACGUAAUGGUGGGAACUCAUGGGAUACUGCCGGGGUCAACUCGGAGGAAGGUGGGGAUGACGUCAAAUCAUCAUGCCCCUUAUGUCUUGGGCUUCACGCAUGCUACAAUGGCCGGUACAGAGGGCUGCAAUACCGCAAGGUGGAGCGAA